CUCUCUUUCCUUGUGCCCUGAGCGCCCCUCCGAGUGCCAUCCUCAGGCUUUCCUGAUGGCUGUGCGCCUUGGCCUCAGAUGGCCGCCCCCCAAGAGGGCCAACAAGGUUGGGACCCUUUGGGCUGUUACGGUGUUGUCACCUCAGGAGUGUGGGUGUGUUGGCGUUAAGGUGGCCGUCUGGCCUGAGUGGGCCGUGGUGGUUUUUCCUAUGACCCCGAUUCUGUUCCCUUAGCUUGCUAGUGUUGGGAGGGUCACAGGGAGAUUUUCUCCCGUGUUGUUGCCAGGUUGGUUAUGGCUGGGCAGGUGGCCCUCAAAGGAG